CAUGGUCAGCUGAUCCUCCAGUGAACUGAGAAGGUUUAUAGUCCUGUGAGUUCAACACUGCAGGACUCAGAUCUGUCAGUCAACACAGCAGAAAGCACAACCACCAUGACUCUCAUCACCAUCCUCAUCUGGACGCUGGCCUGCUGCUGUUUUACAGGAUGCAGCGGUCAGGUGACUGUGACUCAGCCUCCAGUAGUGACAUCUACUCCAGGAUCCACUGUUACUCUCACCUGUAAAACCAGCCAAGCUGUUGCAGGGUGUGGUAGUGAUGGUCAAUGUAUGUUCUGGUAUCAACAGAAAUCUGGACAGACUCCAAAGCUCCUAAUAAGACAUGUCAGCAUCAGUCAUUCAGGAACACCAGCUCGGUUUAGUGGCAGUGGAAGGAGCUCUGACUUCACUUUGACCAUCAGUGGAGUUCUGACUGAAGAUGCAGCAGUUUAUUACUGUCAGAGUUACCAUAGUGGCCCAGUGUGGACUUUUGGUGGAGGAACCAAACUCACCGUUGACUUGGGUGUGGUGCGGCCCACCCUGAGCCUCCUCCCCCCCUCCAGAGAGGAGCUGCAGCAGGGCAGUGCCACACUGGUGUGUCUGGCCAGCGGGGGCUUCCCCUCAGCCUGGAGGCUGGGCUGGAAGGUGGGGGGCAGCAGCAGCUCCUCAGGGGUGUCCCACAGCCUGGAGGUCCUGGGGGGGGACGCCCACUACAGCUGGAGCAGCACCCUGAGCCUCCCUGCAGACCAGUGGAGGAAGGCGGGCUCAGUGAGCUGUGAGGCCAGUCUGAAUGGACAGAGCCCUGUCACUCAAAGCCUGGACCCUGACCACUGCUCAGAGUAGAGCUUCAGCAACACUUCCUGUCUGGAAAUGAUGCUGCUUCUUUGAUAGAGAUCUUGAUGAAGCUACACAUCUCCUCUGCUCACAUAUUUCUGCACAUUUCACAGCUCUCUACUCUGUGUUUUAGUGUGAAUGUUGCUUUCUUAUACUAGUCUUCUGCAUGUUCUUC